GACGAACGCUGGCGGCGUGCUUAACACAUGCAAGUCGAACGGUAAGGCCCUGCUUUUGUGUUGUGCUCGAGUUGCGAACGGGUGAGUAACGCGUGAGUAACCUGCCCUUGACUGUGGGAUAACUUCAGGUAACUAGGGCUAAUACCGGAUGAGAACUCCUGCUGCAUGGUGGGGGUUUGAAAGUUUCGGCGGUUGGGCAUGGAUUCGGGGCUUCUGAGCUUUUGGGAGGUGUAGUGGAUUACCAAGGCCUUGACGGGUAGCCGGCCUGAGAGUGUGACCGGCCCCAUAGGGCCUGAGGUGGGGGCAAGACUCAUACGGGGGGCAGCAGCGGGGAUCAGUGCAAAAUGCGCGGAAGCCGGAAGCAGGAACGCCGCGUCGUGGAUCACGGUCUUAGGGUUGUAACCCGCUUUCGCCUGUGACGAAGCGUGAGUGACGGUAAUGGGUAAAGAAGCACCGGCUAACUACGUG
rnacentral:rRNA from 1 species